UGAGGAAUAUUGGUCAAUGGGCGCAAGCCUGAACCAGCCAUGCCGCGUGCAGGAUGACGGCCCUAUGGGUUGUAAACUGCUUUUGUACGGGAAGAAACCCCUUUACGUGUAAAGGUUUGACGGUACCGUAAGAAUAAGGAUCGGCUAACUCCGUGCCAGCAGCCGCGGUAAUACGGAGGAUCCAAGCGUUAUCCGGAAUCAUUGGGUUUAAAGGGUCCGUAGGCGGCCCUGUAAGUCAGUGGUGAAAUCUCCCCGCUCAACGGGGAAACUGCCAUUGAUACUGCAGGGCUUGAAUUAUUGGGAAGUAAUUAGAAUAUGUAGUGUAGCGGUGAAAUGCUUAGAUAUUACAUGGAAUACCGAUUGCGAAGGCAGGUUACUACCAAUUGAUUGACGCUGAUGGACGAAAGCGUGGGGAGCGAACAGGAUUAGAUACCCUGGUAGUCCACGCCGUAAACGAUGGAUACUAGCUGUUCGGUUGCAAGACUGAGUGGCUAAGCGAAAGUGAUAAGUAUCCCA
rnacentral:rRNA from 1 species